rnacentral:tRNA from 1 species
CUGGAUGGUGCUGCGCCCGGCGGCGGUGGCGGUGCUGCAGGCACCGGAACGGUUGACCUUAUGGGCAGAUGUGUUCCGACGUUUUUUCGUCUGGG